AACGAACGCUGGCGGCAGGCUUAACACAUGCAAGUCGAGCGCCCCGCAAGGGGAGCGGCAGACGGGUGAGUAACGCGUGGGAACGUACCCUUUGCUACGGAAUAGCUCCGGGAAACUGGAAUUAAUACCGUAUGUGCCCUACGGGGGAAAGAUUUAUCGGCAAAGGAUCGGCCCGCGUUGGAUUAGCUAGUUGGUGGGGUAAUGGCCUACCAAGGCGACGAUCCAUAGCUGGUCUGAGAGGAUGAUCAGCCACAUUGGGACUGAGACACGGCCCAAACUCCAAGGGGAGGCAGCAGUGGGGAAUAUUGGACAAUGGGCGCAAGCCUGAUCCAGCCAUGCCGCGUGAGUGAUGAAGGCCUUAGGGUUGUAAGGCUCUUUCACCGGAGAAGAUAAUGACGGUAUCCGGAGAAGAAGCCCCGGCUAACUUCGUGCCAGCCGCCGCGGUAAGAC
rnacentral:rRNA from 1 species